rnacentral:rRNA from 1 species
UAGGGAAUCUUCGGCAAUGGGGGCAACCCUGACCGAGCAACGCCGCGUGAGUGAAGAAGGUUUUCGGAUCGUAAAGCUCUGUUGUAAGAGAAGAACGUGUGUGAGAGUGGAAAGUUCACACAGUGACGGUAACUUACCAGAAAGGGACGGCUAACUACGUGCCAGCAGCCGCGGUAAUACGUAGGUCCCGAGCGUUGUCCGGAUUUAUUGGGCGUAAAGCGAGCGCAGGCGGAUUAAUAAGUCUGAAGUUAAAGGCAGUGGCUUAACCAUUGUUCGCUUUGGAAACUGUUAAACUUGAGUGCAGAAGGGGAGAGUGGAAUUCCAGGUGUAGCGGUGAAAUGCGUAAAUAUAUGGAGGAACACCGGUGGCGAAAGCGGCUCUCUGGUCUGUAACUGACGCUGAGGCUCGAAAGCGUGGGGAGCAAACAGG